rnacentral:rRNA from 1 species
CUCAAAUUUAAAAUCUGGCAGUCUCUGGCUGUCCGAGUUGUAAUCUAGAGAAGUGUUAUCCGCGCUGGACCGUGUACAAGUCUCCUGGAAUGGAGCGUCAUAGAGGGUGAGAAUCCCGUCUUUGACACGGACUACCAGGGCUUUGUGAUAUGCUCUCAAAGAGUCGAGUUGUUUGGGAAUGCAGCUCAAAAUGGGUGGUAAAUUCCAUCUAAAGCUAAAUAUUGGCGAGAGACCGAUAGCGAACAAGUACCGUGAGGGAAAGAUGAAAAGAACUUUGGAAAGAGAGUUAAACAGUACGUGAAAUUGCUGAAAGGGAAACGCUUGAAGUCAGUCGCGUUGUCUGGAAAUCAACCGUGAAUUUCUUGGUGUACUUUCCAGUUAACGGGUCAGCAUCAAUUUUGACUGUUGGAAAAAGGUCAGAGGAAUGUGGCAUCUUCGGAUGUGUUAUAGCCUCUAAUUGUAUACAACAGUUGGGAUUGAGGAACUCAGCACGCCGCAAGGCCGGGUUUUUAACCACGUUCGUGCUUAGGAUGCUGGCAUAAUGGCUUUAAUCGACCCGUCUUGAAACACGGACCAAGGAGUCUAACAUGCCUGCGAGUGUUUGGGUGGAAAACCCGAGCGCGUAAUGAAAGUGAAAGUUGAGAUCCCUGUCGUGGGGUGCAUCGACGCCCGGACUUGACGUUUUCUGACGGUCCCGCGGUAGAGCAUGUAUGUUGGGACCCGAAAGAUGGUGAACUAUGCCUGAAUAGGGUGAAGCCAGAGGAAACUCUGGUGGAGGCUCGUAGCGAUUCUGACGUGCAAAUCGAUCGUCAAAUUUGGGUAUAGGGGCGAAAGACUAAUCGAACCAUCUAGUAGCUGGUUCUGCAG